UCCUAGCCCCAAUUGCAGCAUUUGUUUGAGCUCAUUUUCUAGGGUUUCGGCGGGCCGGAGGCCCGCCGAAACCCUAGAAAAUAGCGAGUGCGAAAAGCGGGAAAUAGC
rnacentral:misc_RNA from 1 species